UACGAAGGGGGCUAGCGUUGCUCGGAAUCACUGGGCGUAAAGCGCACGUAGGCGGAUUGCUAAGUCAGGGGUGAAAUCCUGGAGCUCAACUCCAGAACUGCCUUUGAUACUGGCGGUCUCGAGUCCGGGAGAGGUGAGUGGAACUGCGAGUGUAGAGGUGAAAUUCGUAGAUAUUCGCAAGAACACCAGUGGCGAAGGCGGCUCACUGGUCCGGUACUGACGCUGAUGUGCGAAAGCGUGGGGAGCAAACAGG
rnacentral:rRNA from 1 species